GACGUAGGGCGCGAGCGUUGUCCGGAUUUAUUGGGCGUAAAGAGCUCGUCGGCGGCUUGUCGCGUCGUCCGUGAAAACCUGCAGCUCAACUGCAGGCUUGCGGUCGAUACGGGCAGGCUGGAGUUCGGUAGGGGAGACUGGAAUUCCUGGUGUAGCGGUGAAAUGCGCAGAUAUCAGGAGGAACACCGGUGGCGAAGGCGGGUCUCUGGGCCGAUACUGACGCUGAGGAGCGAAAGCGUGGGGAGCGAACAGG
rnacentral:rRNA from 1 species